ensembl:lncRNA
GUAAAAUGCGAGUUGAUAAUAUUUGAGGAUUGGCUUAAUUUUGAAUUAUAUUGUGUUGGAUUAAGUAGACCAUGAGGUAGAUAACUAGCUAAAUAAUAUUCUAGGUAGAUAAGCUAGUUAACUGAAAAACUAGGUAACUGACUAUCAGGCUGAGGAAAUAACUAACUAGAUAGUGGGCUGGGUAACUUGGGAACUAAAUAGCAGGCUGAGUAAAUAGCUAACUAAAUAGCAGGCUGGGUAAAUAGCUAACUAAAUAGCAGGCUGGGUAGCUAGCUAACUAAAUAGCAGGCUGAGUAAAUAGCUAACUAAAUAGCAGGCUGGGUAGCUAGCUAACUAAAUAGCAGGCUGGGUAGCUAGCUAACUAAAUAGCAGGCUGAGUAAAUAGCUAACUAAAUAGCAGGCUGGGUAAAUAGCUAACUAAAUAGCAGGCUGGGUAGCUAGGUAACUAAAUAGCAGGCGGAGUAAAUAGCUAACUAAAUAGCAGGCUGGGUAGCUAACUAAAUAGCUAGCUAACUAAAUAGCAG